rnacentral:rRNA from 1 species
CGAACGGGUGAGUAAUGCGUGACCAACCUGCCCCAUGCUCCAGAAUAGCUCUUGGAAACGGGUGGUAAUGCUGGAUGCUCCAACUUGACGCAUGUCUUGUUGGGAAAGUGUUUAGUGGCAUGGGAUGGGGUCGCGUCCUAUCAGCUUGUAGGCGGGGUAAUGGCCCACCUAGGCUUCGACGGGUAGCCGGCCUGAGAGGGCGGACGGCCACAUUUGGACUGAGAUACGGCCCAGACUCCUACGGGAGGCAGCAGUG